rnacentral:rRNA from 1 species
UGAGGAGUCUUGCGCAACGGGGGAAACCCUGACGCAGCAACGCCGCGUGAGUGAGGAAGGCCUUCGGGUCGUAAAGCUCUGUCAGAUGGGAAGAAAUGGGUGGGGGCUAAUAUCGUCCACCCUUGACGGUACCAUCAGAGGAAGCACCGGCUAACUCCGUGCCAGCAGCCGCGGUAAUACGGGGGGUGCAAGCGUUGUUCGGAAUCAUUGGGCGUAAAGCGCGCGCAGGCGGCUUGGUAAGUCAGAUGUGAAAUCCCUGGGCUUAACCCAGGAAGUGCAUUUGAUACUGCCUCGCUAGAGUACGGGAGAGGAAAGUGGAAUUCCUGGUGUAGAGGUGAAAUUCGUAGAUAUCAGGAGGAACACCGGUGGCGAAGGCGACUUUCUGGCCCGAUACUGACGCUCAGGCGCGAAAGCGUGGGGAGCAAACAG